rnacentral:rRNA from 1 species
AGUGAACGCUGGCGGUAGGCCUAACACAUGCAAGUCGAACGGCAGCACAGUAAGAGCUUGCUCUUACGGGUGGCGAGUGGCGGACGGGUGAGGAAUACAUCGGAAUCUACUUUUUCGUGGGGGAUAAUGUAGGGAAACUUACGCCAAUAUCGCAUACGACCUACGGGUGAAAGCAGGGGAUCUUCGGAACUUGCGCGAUUGAAUGAGCCGAGGUCGGAUUAGCUAGUUGGCGGGGUAAAGGCCCACCAAGGCGACGACCCGUAGCUGGUCUGAGAGGAUGAUCAGCCAAACUGGAACUGAGACACGGUCCAGACUCCUACGGGAGGCAGCAGUGGGGAAUAUUGGACAAUGGGCGCAAGCCUGAACCAGCCAUACCGCGUGGGUGAAGAAGGCCUUCGGGUUGUAAAGCCCUUUUGUUGGGAAAGAAAAGCAGCAGGUUAAGACCCCGCUGUUCUGACGGUACCCAAAGAAUAAGCACCGGCUAACUUCGUG